GAUCCUGGCUCAGGAUGAACGCUAGCGGCGUGCCUAACACAUGCAAGUCGAACGUGAGAGGGUACUUGUAUCCUUGAAAGUGGCGGACGGGUGAGUAAGACGUAGGUGACCUGCCUCGAAGUGGGGGAUAACCAUUGGAAACGAUGGCUAAUACCGCAUAAGCUGGUGACGAUGGGAAUGGUUGCCAGGAAAGCUUUAGUGCUUUGAGAGGGGCCUACGGCCGAUUAGCUAGUUGGUGAGGUAAAAGGCUCACCAAGGCGAUGAUCGGUAGCUGGUCUGAGAGGACGAUCAGCCACACGGGAACUGAGACACGGUCCCGACUCCUACGGGGGGCAGCAGUGAGGAAUAUUCGGCAAUGGGGGCAACCCUGACCGAGCAACGCCGCGUGGAGGAUGACGGUUUUCGGAUUGUAAACUCCUUUUCUCAGGGAAGAGCGAGGACGGUACCUGGGGAAUAAGUCACGGCUAACUACGUGCCAGCAGCCGCGGUAAUACGUAGGUGGC
rnacentral:rRNA from 1 species